rnacentral:rRNA from 1 species
AAUCUUGCGCAAUGGGUGAAAGCCUGACGCAGCCAUGCCGCGUGAAUGAUGAAGGUCUUAGGAUUGUAAAAUUCUUUCACCGGGUACGAUAAUGACGGUACCUGGAGAAGAAGCCCCGGCUAACUUCCUGCCAGCAGCCGCGGUAAUACGAAGGGGGCUAGCGUUGCUCGGAAUUACUGGGCGUAAAGGGCGCGUAGGCGGAUCGUUAAGUCAGAGGUGAAAUCCCAGGGCUCAACCCUGGAACUGCCUUUGAUACUGGCGAUCUUGAGUAUGGGAGAGGUAUGUGGAACUCCGAGUGUAGAGGUGAAAUUCGUAGAUAUUCGGAAGAACACAAGUGGCAAAGGCGACAUACUGGCUCAUUACUGACGCUGAGGCGCGAAAGCGUGGGGAGCAAACA